ACACGUCUACAUUAGAUACCCGUGUAGUCCCAGCCGUAAACUAUGCGCGUUAGGUGUAUCGGUGACCACGAGUUACCGAGGUGCCGAAGGGAAACCGUGAAACGUGCCGCCUGGGAAGUACGGUCGCAAGGCUGAAACUUAAAGGAAUUGGCGGGGAGCACCACAACAGGUGGAGCCUGCGGUUUAAUUGGACUCAACGCCGGGAAGCUCACCGGAUAGGACAGCAGAAUGAUUGCCGGGCUGAAGACUCUGCAUGACUAGCUG
rnacentral:rRNA from 1 species